CAGUUUUGCAACUGGAAAAUUAAAUUUAAAUUUCUGAAUUGUAGUAUGGCAUAUUUUGAAUUGUUUUACCCCAGUAUUAUAACAUCAACCAUAGCUAUAUAUGACAUCAGUGCACAGACAUAUAAAAAUUACUGCAGUUCUAAGAUCCCUAAUAAAUUAGAGAAAGAAAAACAGUAUAAAAUUCAGAGGAAACGGCAUUUUAUUUGCAUGAAAUCUCACCAAGCUAGAUUAUACUGGAAUUCCUAUGAAUAAACUAUGUGAAAGAUUUGACAGGUACACAAUUGUUAGACAAUAAAUGCAACUUUGUUUUAUAAUAGAGUACUCUUCACUCUCUUUGGUUUUACUUCACAGAUUCAUUAUUUCUUGAAAGCACCACCCCCCAGUUUAUGUCUUUAUCUGCUUCCCUGAGGGCACUGAGCCUGUUAAUUGCAUAAAAAAGUUCUGAAACUGAGGACUGAUAUGGAGGUUUCAAGGUACUGACAUAACAGAAGAUUUACGCAUCUGAUUAGGAUUUGCAGCACAAAGACUCUGUGCUGCCUUCCUCCUGUUCCAACAGCUUUCGAGGAGCAGUGGCUGAAAACGGAUACUCAAAGUAGGACUGACUGAGCAGCCAACGAGCAGCACCUGCUCCUUUUUAAGGAUUAUUUCAGACUGCUGCUUAUUUCAAACCCACCUGGAAACUGUGCCCACAAAAACAAGGAUAUGCUUUUGCAAAAUAAAGAGCUGAGUAGCGUAA